GGGAAUCUGCCCUUUGGUCUGGGAUAACUGUUGGAAACGACAGCUAAUACCGGAUGAUGACGUAAGUCCAAAGAUUUAUCGCCAGAGGAUGAGCCCGCGUCGGAUUAGCUAGUUGGUGGGGUAAAGGCCUACCAAGGCGACGAUCCGUAGCUGGUCUGAGAGGAUGAUCAGCCACACUGGGACUGAGACACGGCCCAGACUCCUACGGGAGGCGGCAGUGGGGAAUAUUGGACAAUGGGCGAAAGCCUGAUCCAGCAAUGCCGCGUGAGUGAUGAAGGCCUUAGGGUUGUAAAGCUCUUUUACCCGGGAUGAUAAUGACAGUACCGGGAGAAUAAGCUCCGGCUAACUCCGUGCCAGCAGCCGCGGUAAUACGGAGGGAGCUAGCGUUGUUCGGAAUUACUGGGCGUAAAGCGCACGUAGGCGGCUUUGUAAGUUAGAGGUGAAAGCCUGGAGCUCAACUCCAGAACUGCCUUUGAUACUGCAUGGCUUGAAUCCAGGAGAGGUGAGUGGAAUUCCGAGU
rnacentral:rRNA from 1 species